rnacentral:rRNA from 1 species
AACGCUAGCUACAGGCUUAACACAUGCAAGUCGAGGGGCAGCAUCAUCAAAGCUUGCUUUGAUGGAUGGCGACCGGCGCACGGGUGAGUAACACGUAUCCAACCUGCCGACAACACUGGGAUAGCCUUUCGAAAGAAAGAUUAAUACCGGAUGGCAUAGUUUUCCCGCAUGGGAUGAUUAUUAAAGAAUUUCGGUUGUCGAUGGGGAUGCGUUCCAUUAGGCAGUUGGCGGGGUAACGACCCACCAAACCAACGAUGGAUAGGGGUUCUGAGAGGAAGGUCCCCCACAUUGGAACUGAGACACGGUCCAAACUCCUACGGGAGGCAGCAGUGAGGAAUAUUGGUCAAUGGACGAGAGUCUGAACCAGCCAAGUAGCGUGAAGGAUGACUGCCCUAUGGGUUGUAAACUUCUUUUAUACGGGAAUAAAGUGAGCCACGUGUGGCUUUUUGUAUGUACCGUAUGAAUAAGGAUCGGCUAACUCCGUGCCAGCAGCCGCGGUAAUACGGAGGAUCCGAGCGUUAUCCGGAUUUAUUGGGUUUAGAGGGAGCGUANGCGGGUUGUUAAGUCAGAUGUGAAANUUUGCGGCUCAACCGUAAAAUUGCAGUUGANACUGGCGACCUUGAGUGCACAGAGGUAGGCGGAANUCCUGGUGGUANCGGNGAAAUGCUUAAAUNCCACGAAGAACUCCGAUUG